rnacentral:rRNA from 1 species
GACGAACGCUGGCGGCGUGCUUAACACAUGCAAGUCGAACGAAGUGGCUAACGGGUGAGUCAUACGUGGGUAACCUGCCCUCCUUUUUGGGAUAAGCCUUGAAAAAGGGGUCUAAUACCGAAUAAAGGGGGAUGGGCUCGCGGCCUAUCAGCUUGUUGGUGGGGUGAUGGCCUACCAAGGCGGUGACGGGUAGCCGGCCUGAGAGGGUGACCGGCCACAUUGGGACUGAGAUACGGCCCAGACGCCUACGGGAGGCAGCAGUGGGGGAUAUUGCACAAUGGGCGAAAGCCCGACGCAGGGAAGCCGCAUGGGUGAUGUAGGCGUCAGGGUCGGAAGUGUAUAAGGCAAAGGAAGUGGUAGGAGGCCAGGAAGCCGCGGCUAACUACGUGCAAGCAGCCGCGGUAAUUC